UUCAAAUUAGGUCUCUCAGUGGAUGUCCAAGUUGUUAAUUCCCAGGGCUGAAAUAUGAGCAACCCACUGCGCCAGCCAAAACAGCAGCAUUAAGACUGAUGGUGCUUUUCUGCCUGGGAAUCUCCAGUCUGUCUUCCUUCUUGAGUCCGUAAUAGGUGACUCUGCCUUCCCGGAGCUCCAAACCUCAGUCAGAAGGGGAAGCAGUCCCAUUUACUCUGCACCAAGAGCUGCCGCGCCAAGGUGCAGGCAGAACUGCUGCGCCGGCCACAAGAGUUGUGCUGGUGACCUGUGUGACUCCUCUACUGGGAAUCCUCUGCUCCAGGAGCGACCAAAAUUUGUCUGAAAGUGUGGUGUCCUCUCGUUCUCUGAGCUUUCACUAGGAGCUGCAAUCCCGAGAUGUUAGCGAUCUUGGAUCGUUCCUCGCAAUGAUGUUAUUUUCUAGCUUUACCAAAAUGUUGCCAUGCUUAUCAUCUUGGACUUUCUGCAUGAGGACAAGGACCUGGUCUGUUAGAGCAGGAGUCCCCAACCCCCUGCUCACAGACUGGCAUCAGCCUGCAGGCUCUCAGGAACGGGACCAUACAGCAGGAGGUAAAGAAGCAUUGACCUCAAGCUAUGCAAUACUGAAACAAUUGCCGCUCAUUGAGCUAGAUGCUGACUGACUGACCCUGCCCCUUCAACCUGCCAGAGCUACAGCUUUCACUGAGCGAGAGAGGGACUUCAGCAGCUUUCUCCGGAUGAGAGCCCAGGACCUGGUUCUGGUUACACUGGCUACACGCUUGAGAGCCUUCCUGUCCGUGCUUCACCUUUUGACACUUCGGCUUAAUUGUCCCUGAGGAAUCGCCACACUGUCUUCCACAGUGGUUGAACUAAUUUACACUCCCACCAACAGUGUGAAAGUGUUCCUAUUUCUCCACAUCCUCUUCAGCAUCUGCUGUCUCCAGAUUUUUUAAUGAUUGCCAUUCUAACUGGCGUGAGAUGGUAUCUCAAUGUAGUUUUGAUUUGCAUUUCUCUGAUGACCAGUGAUGAUGAGCAUUUUUUCAUAUGUUUGUUGGCCUCAUGUAUGUCUUCUUUUGUAAAGUGUCUGUUCAUAUCCUUUUCCCACUUAUGAAUGGGCUUGUUUGUUUUUUUCCUGUAAAUCUGUUUGAGUUCUUUGUAAAUUCUGGAUAUCAGCCCUUUGUCAGGUGGGUAAACUGCAAAAAUUUUUUCCCAUUCUGUUGGUUGCCGAUUCACUCUAGUGACUGUUUCUUUUGUCGUGCAGAAGCUGUGGAGUUUGAUUAGGUCCCAUUUGUCUAUUUUGGCUUUUGUUGCCAAUGCUUUUGGUGUUUUGGUCAUGAAGUCCUUGCCUACAGAUUAUUACUUUUAUGAAACAAUACUGGUGGGGUAACAUCAAUAAAUCAGCCAAAAAUGCUUAUGUAGUCUGCCCCACCCAUCCUAAAUUCAAUCCUAGAAAGCCAGUGCACAUAGCCUCUGGCCAUUUAUUUUUCUUUUUUAAGACGGGAUCUUGCUCUGUUUCCCAGGCUGGAGUGCAGUUGUGUGAUCAUACCUCACUGUAACCCCAAACUCCUGGGCUCAAGUGAUCCUCCUGCCUCAGCCUCCCAAGCAGCUAGGAGUACAGGCUCGUGCCACCAUGGCAGCUAACUCUGGGCCAUUUUAACCUCCCUGAUGGGCCAUGAAAGACCUGGAGGAUAUAUUUUUAACCAGCCACCUCCCUUGUUUGAAUACAACGAUGUUUUAGUUUUGCACCGUAUGUUCUCCUGUUAGGUUGAAGGCAUCUCCUGUAGAUGAGCCACUGCCUUAGCAGUGGCCAACGCCCUGUUAGAGAAGAUAAUCCCUACCUGGGUAACCCCUUUGAACUUCACAGUGAAUGAGAAGCUUGUCUUACAGGACAAGUUAUAAAACAUGCAUGUGCUCUCUGGCAUAUUUACAUUGUACAACACUUCGAUUGUGAUUAUCAUCCCUAGUGCUCUGGACGAGUGGAACACACCAGUAGUCCUCUUAAGACUCAACUGGCAAAGUUGAUGGAAACCUUACAUUUGCCAUGGCCAAAAGCCCUGCCUAGAAUGCUUCUGACCUCGAGGACCCCUCAGAUUAUAUAAACUCUCAUCAGUCUUUCUACAGUGUGCUCCCAGGAGACAAAGACCUAAAACACCACAACCUACAGCAAGGAUAUUGUUGUCUAUUGGAAAAGACAUUUACAAAAGGAUUCCCUCCAACUUCACUAGAAACGUGCACACCAGGUGCAGCUGACCAACCUCUGCAUAGCCAAAUGCAAAGGCAUGGAUUCCUGGAUACAUGCAUCUCAUCUGAAAAAGAUAUCACAUGUUCUCUCUUAUAUGUGGAAGCCAAAAGAUUGGAUCUCACAGAGGUAGAGAAUAGAAUGGUGGGUACCAGAGGCUACGAAGAGAUGGGGGAGGGAGGACAAAGAGAAGCUGGUUAAAGGGUACAAGUAGAUAGCAGGAAUAAAUUCUAGUAUUUGAUAGUACAGUAAGGAAAUGAUAGUUAAUAAUAGUUUAUUGCAAUACAAAAUAGCUAGAAGAAUGAUAAUGUUCACAACACAAGGAAAAGAUAAAUGAGGAUAGGUAUCCCAAUUACCCUAAUUUGAUCAUUGCACAUUGUAUACAGGUUUUAAAAUAUCACACGCACCUCCAAAAUAUGUACAACUAUUGCAAAUCAACAAAAGAUAAGAGAAAAAAAUAAAAAUAAACACCCCAAACCCAGCUCCUAAGUGUGGACUUGUGCUCCUGUCAACAUAUUAAAACUAAAAAUGUCUAGGAUGUGAAGCAGAUAGCCUCUGAGGAAAUGGCUUCUCCCAAGAUGUCCAGAACAGGCCUAUACACCCUUUUCUCAGUUCUAAUUCUUGCUUUAUUUUCUUCUUUUUCCUGGAAGGAUAAUUCCAUUUUCCAGACCCUCCCCACAGGGGAAUUUUACUAAUUGUUGGCUCUGUCAUCAGAAACCUCCAUCUGUUGAUGACUCUACUGACUCUCCAGUUCAACCUGUAACAGAUCUCACUAAUGCCCAAGAAACAACCAUCUGUAUAAAUUGUAUCCCACCCUAAGGAUCCAGGAUGAGGUCCUCAUCCAAUCUAGGCUUAUCUACCUGAAUUAAGAUGGCCCAGUGAGUGGCUGGCACACCCUCAAGAGCUGCUUAUGACACAGAUGACUCAAUUUUUCAGCAUGAAGUCACAAGCGGUGGGUCACACCUGUAAUCCCAGCACUUUGGGAGGCAAGACAGGUGGAUCACUUGAGAUCAGGAGUUUAAGACCAUCCUGGCCAACAUGGUGAAACCCUGCCUCUACUAAAAAUACAAAAAUUAGCAGGGCGUAGUGGCAAGUGCCUCUAAUCCCAGCUACUACAGAGGCUGAGGUCGGAGGAUCAUUUGAGCCUGGGAGGUGGAGGCUGCAGUGAGCUGUGAUUACACCACUGUACUCCGGUGUGGGUGACAUAGCAAGCCCCUGUUUCAAAAAAAAAUUUGGAUUGCUCCAAUUUUUAAUAUUAAAAGUGAUGGUGGCAGGGCACAGUAGUUCAUACCUGUAAUCUCAACACUUUGAGAGGCCAAGGAAGGAGGACCCUUUCAGCCCAGGAGUUCCAGGCAACCCUGGGCAACAUAGUGAGACGACAUCUCUACAAAAUUAAAACUUUAAAAACUUAAGAAAUUUUUAAAAAUUAAUGAUGCAGUGUACAUACAUCCUCCAUGGCAGGGAGAAUUCUAACAUAUACAACAAUGAGGUUGAACCAUCUGAAACUGCUGUUUGACCAAUUUUUUGACCUACAAAAAUAGCAAUUUCUUAUGUUCAAUAGAUGAGGAAGUACUGGGUGAUGAAGGUGGCUUUUUGAAUUCAAUUUUACUAAAUUUUUUUGUAACAAUUUACUCUCACCAGUUAAUAGGUGGCACAGGUGUUCUUUCUCCAGCUUUUUGCCAACAGAUGACAUUGUCAUUUGGUUUUCAUUUCUGCCUCUGUGAUGGCUGUGAAACAGUAGCUCUCCUUUAAUUUUAAUUUUUCUUAUUUUCUUAAUAGGGAAAUUUAGCAUCUUUUCAUGCAUUCAUUGGAAAUUGUAUUUUCUUCUCCAAAUUGCUCUUUCAUGUCCUUUUCCCAUUUGCUAAUAGAUUGUUUAUCUUUUUCUUAUUAAUUUGUUUUAUUUUUUACAUAUUUUGGAUUUUAAUCCCCUGUGUUUUACAUAUGCCACAGGUUCCUUUUCGGGUUUCGGCUUUCCCUCUGUAAGCUGUCUUACUGCCUUUUGUCAUACAGAACGCUUUAUAUGAUGCAAUCAAAUUAACUGAAAUAUCCUCAGAAUUUUGAUUUUGAUAUCUUAAGAAAUUCUUCUUUAACCUACCCUCCAAAUGUGUUCUUCCAUAAUUUUUUUUCUAUUGGUUGUGGGGUGUUAUUUUUCACAUCAGGUCAUUAAUCCAUCUGAUAAUUAUUUUGACCUAAAUGGCCAGUGGAAUGUUCGUGCAUUUCUAUUGAACUUUUUUUCAUGUGGAAAGCUAGCUAAAUAAUAAUAAAACAUCCUUGUGGAAUCA